rnacentral:sRNA from 1 species
GUUGAAUGUUGAAUAUUGAAAACGAAUAUUGAAUAUAUACAUUCAAUAUUCGUUUUCAAUAUUCAACAUUCAAC